ACGGAGGGUGCAAGCGUUGUCCGGAAUUAUUGGGCGUAAAGGGUUCGUAGGUGGUAUGUUAAGUCUGGUGUUAAAUCCCGAAGCUCAACUUCGGUCCGGCAUUGGAUACUGGCAAACUUGAAUGUGGUAGAGGUAAAGGGAAUUCCUGGUGUAGCGGUGAAAUGCGUAGAUAUCAGGAGGAACAUCGGUGGCGAAGGCGCUUUACUGGGCUAUUAUUGACGCUGAGGAACGAAAGCCUGGGUAGCAAAUGG
rnacentral:rRNA from 1 species